GCCACUCUCACCUGGACCAAGUGCGAUAGCUGAUUGGCUGCAGGAGAGCUGGGGGCGGGUAUUCGGUAUGAGAUCCACAGGCUGCUGGGAAUGCAAAGAGCCAGGAAGACAGGAAGAAAAGUUGAUGGGAGGAGGAGGAGACACCAGAGGGGUCGGCUCGGGUUUCAGGUGUUCGGGGCCACCUCAUAUGAGAUGCUUGAAAUAAUUGGACUGUGACUCAGGCGACGGGUCAGCCUGCUGACAGAUUUGGGAGGCUGCUGCGUGGAAGGGGAAUUUGAAACGUGGGCUGGAUCAGCACGGAGGAUUGGGCAGGGAGAAGGCCAAGGCUCAAGUGGAGAAACAGCCAUCAAGUUUAAAGUAGGAAGGAGGGAAGAGCCAGCAAAGGGGGUGGUGAGCGGUGAUAGGAAGACAGCAAGCCAGGCACAGCGGUCAGGGACGUCAGUGAUGACCAAGAAGCGGCCUCCAGGAGAGGCGAAUGUUACAGUAGAUGAAAAACCACCUGAAGAAGUAUGUACAUGGUCCAGAACACGGGCUCUGGAGUUCCUGUGUGACUUUGGACGAGUUGAUCACCUUAAACCUCUACUGCUCAUUUGUGAAGGAGAGAGAAUAGCAACACCUGUCCAAGGAUUUCGAGGAUUUGCAACAAUCCACGGUUCAACAAGGGUGCACAGAGACCCAAGAGUGUGGAAGAGGAAGCCAUAGAGUGAUGGAAUAAAUAACUGGUUUCCUUGAAAAUGAAUGGCAAAGUCAUCUGGUACAUUUUCC
rnacentral:lncRNA from 1 species